ensembl:lncRNA
CAGAAAGCCAGGCGCAUGCACGCGGCGCGCUGCCGCUUCAAGGCGCGGGCGCGAGAGAGAGAGAGAGAGAGAGAGCGCGAGAGCGUGAGUGCGUAUGUGUCACACAUCGCUGAGAAAAGCUUCCGCGUGCCGUCGGUUCGACCUGCUGCAGGAACACAACGCUGAACUUUACUACUGGAAAAUCAGCACCUAUUCCUACAAGGUCAGUAGAUGUUCUAACUUUAUUAUUAUUAUUUAAAUAUGUUUUUGAGUUUUAUUCCCGGUUUUAGUAGUUUUAUUGUGGCAUGUCCAAUAAUGCACGCGCUGAUGGAUGAGCUGUUUGGCGCGCGAGUUGUAAAAGGUGCACAGGAUGAUGCACAGGUAUACUGUGUGGAUAUUUAUGAUCAAAACAAGUUUAACAAAAACAAACAAACAAAAUCCUCUGCCCCUCGUGCACUUGCGGUAGUACUAAUAAUACAGACAGCUCAGUGUUUUAAUAUUAGAGUCUCAUCUCUUAAAAAAGGUGUCUCACCUGUGCUGGGUUUGGUUUCCGGGAAGCGCGUGCGCUGGGAAUUCACGGUUCUUCCCUCAUCAUUGCAUCCUCUUACAGACUAAAAGGCACCCCAUAUCAUUCAGAGUGCACAUGCACGGUGUAAUGCACAUGAUGGAAGGGCAUGGAGUGUCAUUCUGCAGGAGUGUAGCUGUACAUUCACAGAGGAACUUCACUUAAACGUGGAGUUUUCGGUUGAACCUGGAUUACACAAAGUUUCUGGAGAAGGAGGUCGUUUCAGGAGGAGCGCAUGAUCAUAGCUGGGUUUUUUUCUUCUUCCAGGAGAAAGUAGCUAAUGCUUGCUCGAUAAGGUCCCUAGAAGUCCCCAUAUGACACCCUAGACUAAUCUGCGUAUUUAUUCAGUGGCAUAGGAACGUGUUGGAACAUGAAGAUUUUCUGCAAACACUCAGAAUAGAAAUGAGUUAUACCAAAGUACAAGGUAUUAGAUCAUGGGAUCUGGUUUAUAAAAAGAAGGCGUCUUUGGUCAUGGCACCGCAAAAUAUAAUCUCUAGGACGCAGACUGAACGAGGCAGUGGUAGUGAGGUAUCUGGAAAUAGGUAUGAAGGGGAAUCUGUUAAUGUAAUUUUAUUACUGUAAAUAUUGCCAAUAAAUGAUUUUCAGAUGAAGAACAGAAACAUGCUGGUGGGACAAACAGUGGUGAUGAGUGAUUAAUCACUGGUCACCAUUCUUUCUAUUGACCAGUCAUUGGGAACAGUGAGGGUCGGUGAUCAGUCAUGGGGAACAUUAGGAGACCGCUAAUCCUUUCAACACUGACAUCAGAGUGUGUGAGAGGUAACUCGCACCCCGCCGGGUCCGAUAGUGGCCCAGAAAAGCCAAUGACGUCAGACGGGACGGAAAGCGAAGCCUCCCGCGCUCGUCUUCUGUGCUUUUCUAUCAGAGAGGAGCUUUAUAUAGAAAUUGGAAAGAGAGGGAGAGAGAGUUAAUGCAUUCCGACACAGAGGUUGUUUUAAUGUGAUCAAGCACAUUAAGCUUGACCUUGUGUGCUUCUUCUCCUCGCUGUCUCUCUGCUCUAUCUCUUUUCUGUCUUCUCAGGUAAGCGCCGGCGCCUGUGGUUGCGUUACGAGGCCGGCGGCUUCCAUUAGCGCGAGCGAGCGGCUUCUUAAUUUUUCAUGAAACGUAUCCGGAUAAAAGGGAAUAUAUGUAAUCGGAGCGGUCUGGAUAUCCUGCUUCGGCUCACGCAAGACCUGGUGUUGAUUCUUUCCGUGAAAUCUGUGUCAUGCGCUCUUUUUCUUUCUUCUUGAUCCUUUUAUCAUCUUUACUCCAGAUUGUACCAUCUUGAAUUUGACCUGUAUUUUCAGUUCACUGUUCAGCGAUGAAUGCAGCGCUGACCCAGGGCAUCUCAUUUAGAUUUUAUAGCUCAUAGUAGCUCAGCUACAUUACAAGCAGCCUUAAGCACAGUUUUAUAGCAUAAAAAUAAUCUGUCAAAUAAAUUGAUUCCUUCAUUUUCAGUAAGCCCUUUAUCCUGGUCACAGUUGCCGUGAAUCCAGAGCCUAUCCCGGGAACAUUGGGUGCGAAGCGGGAAUAUACCCUACGGAAAGGCAGUUCAUUUACACACACACACAAACACACACAUUCACAUCUAAGGGGAAUUUAGCGUCUACGUACUGGCAUGUCUUUUAAGAGGUGCGAGGAAAGUGGAGAACCCAGAACAUGCGAAAAUUUACAUAGACAGCAACCCAAGCUCAGGAUUCAGCCACACUAGCAGAUGGUUUAUGGAAAGGAUGUGUUCCUGACCCCUUCAAGGACAAAACUUGAGUGCAUCAUCAGCACAUGUUCUGUCCGUGCUCAAAACACGGCGCUUAAAGAUAAUCCCUUCACUGAGGAUGCAGAUCAUUUAGAUUAAAGAUAAUCUGCUCGCACAGAGGGGCAAAUUAUAGCACUGAUCACUAUGUAGGUUAUGAGCAGGACUGUGGAAAUGUCCUCCUCUGAGAUGAUUAGUCAGUGAUGGAUUACGAGCGUUUGGAUAAUUACAAGGUUAAGACCAAGAGCUGAACGCAAAACAACAGUGAUGCCCUUGUGCCCUUAAGUAUAAUCUUAAAAUUAGUAUUUGAUCUAAAUGUGUCGAAUACAUUGUUAUUUCUAUAGUAACAAUUUACACAGGAAUCUUUAUGGUGGACGCUUCAUGUAAUCAAAGCCUAAUACUAAACAGCUAAGAAAAUGUCAUUAUUGUGAUGAUUUGUGUAAGGAGAUUUAUUCAUCCAUUAUACAUUUCUUCAUCUGCGCACCUGUACGAGUCCUUCGUUGCCUUAUGUUGCGCUUCAUAAUGCGUCACACAUUCACAAUCAGAG